UUGGUUGAGCAGCUGUACAAAAACCUGCAGUGCUCAUUCUUACUGUGCUGAAAGACAACAAGGAAGAAUUUUAUUCAUAUUUUUAUCUUGCGCUGUUGUAUUUUUUAAUAAAAUCUUAAACAACGUUAUCUAGCAACAAUUAAACACAUAAAUUAAACAAAAUGUGUUACUGUAAUCACUACUACCUCACAUAACAGCCAGAGACAGUGAAACAAUCUGCUGAAAUCAAUGUACAGUGUGAAUUAAAGAAAUGCUACAUGUACAUAUUUAGGCCACAUAAAUGUAUUUAUUAUAUGACAUAUGAAGCAGGACACAACAUUGUAGUGAAAGAUAAUGCUGCAGUUCUGGAUAUAAAAACACUAGAUGGCAGUCAGUGUCAAGUUUCUCUCUCCUCUGUCACGAUGAGGAGAAACUCAGAUCUGCUCUUCUCAUUAAUAUCAACUGUCUGACAUUCAAACCCUGAACUACAGCUUCAUACUCACAUCUACUGUGAGCUUACUUUCUUUUUGCUCACCAUCUCAUAUAGAUUACAAGAUAAACAGCCAGGAGACUAAAGGACCUGCUGUUUGUUCUUGUGCCUGAGAGACAUUGUGAUGAAAGCUGAAUGAAUAAGUGAUACUGCAAUGAGACAAACUUUCACUUCUUGGGCUGAUAGAGGAAAAACUAUGUCUUACUUUGUCACAUUCUUCCUCUGUGAGCAGUAAUCCACCUCACUGAGGGGACCAAUCACUUCUGAAGCUAACUAAUGAGACUGACAGUGCAGCAUGUUGUGUAAAUUAAGAAAAGGAGAAACACUGAACAACAUCUUUAAUGCUGGUGUCUCAGUCUGUUUUGAACUCUCUCUCUCUCUCUCAGAGUCCAGCACUCCUUCACAAACUCCAACUGCUAAAAUGCAAAUCCACACACUGAUGUACAAUCCCCACCCAUUCUGUCUACACAGUAUAUAUCCACCAUAACAGCCUUUACAGGUUUAGACUCAAUCAAGUUCCCACCAUGACAGUUGUACAGAGUGUCGUCCUCUUGGCUCUGAUUUCAGCUGCUCAGGGCCAGUCGCUCACCUCCUCAGGGCCAGUGGUCAGCAGAGCUGGAGGAUCAGUCACUCUGUCCUGUAAAGUGGAAGGACUGCCUCUGGCUUGGCUGCACUGGAUCCGUCAGAAACCAGGGAAAGGACUGGAAUGGAUCGGACGCAUUGAUAGUGGAACUGGCACCAUAUUUGCCCAGAGUCUCCAAGGCCAGUUUUCCAUCACCAAAGACACUUCCAGAAAUCUUGUGUACUUAGAGGUGAAGAGUGUGAAAGAAGAAGACUCUGCAGUUUAUUAUUGUGCACGAGAGCCACAGUGACACAUGAGACGACAAAGCUGUACAAACACUGAACAACACUGAUGUCUGUAUGAGAAGCACUGAAGCAUGUCAGGGCUUUGAAAACACAAUUUCCACUGAAUGACGUCCAGUUAACAAAUGAUAAAGUAUGUCUCAGUGUUUUGGGACAGUUUACCAUGACUCAUGGCAACAUCUGCACUUAUAAGAAGACAACCUGACUGUGAUCACAACAUGAGUUUAACUACAGUAACGUCUUGCUUGGCUGAGCUCUGUGUCAUACAUUACUUUAUUUUUUACAUUGACCUGCACUAACUUCAUGAGUUUUAAGACAUUUUAUACAGUAAAUCCUAUCAUUAAAUUAACCAUGUAGAUGGUGGAAUAAAAGUCUAUAUAAGCUCUUUCACUGAAACAAUUAUGUUCCUUACAUAAUAAAUGACUUCUCUUCAUGUUCCCUCUGGAAGACACACUGUUUACACCAUCAGCUGAUUCAGUUUAAAUUUAAAGAUUCUUCAACAAAAUGCAAAUGAAGGUUGCUCAUGAGAGUGUGUGAAAAAUGCUACAAUCAGAUGUGUAAUGAAAUUAAGAUAUGACAUGUAGCUGAGCUGUCUUUAGGAUGUAGUCUUUAGUGGUGGCAGCAUUUAUACACUGUGUUUUAGUGGUUUAAAAUUGAUUUCUCAUCUUUAAAUAUUGUGCAUGAGAUUCAUUAACAAG